CGCUGGCGGCGUGCCUAAUACAUGCAAGUCGAACGCACUCUCGUUUAGAUUGAAGGAGCUUGCUCCUGAUUGAUAAACAUUUGAGUGAGUGGCGGACGGGUGAGUAACACGUGGGUAACCUGCCCUAAAGUGGGGGAUAACAUUUGGAAACAGAUGCUAAUACCGCAUAAAACCUAACACCGCAUGGUGUAGGGUUGAAAGAUGGUUUCGGCUAUCACUUUAGGAUGGACCCGCGGUGCAUUAGUUAGUUGGUGAGGUAAAGGCUCACCAAGACCGUGAUGCAUAGCCGACCUGAGAGGGUAAUCGGCCACACUGGGACUGAGACACGGCCCAGACUCCUACGGGAGGCAGCAGUAGGGAAUCUUCCACAAUGGACGAAAGUCUGAUGGAGCAACGCCGCGUGAGUGAAGGAGGUUUUCGGAUCGUAAAACUCUGUUGUUGGAGAAGAAUGUAUCUGAUAGUAACUGAUCAGGUAGUGACGGUAUCCAACCAGAAAGCCACGGCUAACUACGUG
rnacentral:rRNA from 1 species